rnacentral:rRNA from 1 species
UACGAAGGGGGCUAGCGUUGUUCGGAAUUACUGGGCGUAAAGCGCACGUAGGCGGCUUUGUAAGUUAGAGGUGAAAGCCUGGAGCUCAACUCCAGAAUUGCCUUUAAGACUGCAUCGCUUGAAUCCAGGAGAGGUGAGUGGAAUUCCCAGUGUAGAGGUGAAAUUCGUAGAUAUUGGGAAGAACACCGGUGGCGAAGGCGGCUCUCUGGACCGAUACUGACGCGUGAGGCGGCGAAAGCGUGGGGAGCAAACAGG